rnacentral:rRNA from 1 species
GAUCAUGGCUCAGGACGAACGCUGGCGGCGCGCCUAACACAUGCGAGUCGAACGGAGUCAAGAGGAGCUUGCUUUUCUUGACUUAGUGGCGAACGGGUGAGUAACGCGUGAGUAACCUGCCCUGGAGUGGGGGACAACAGUUGGAAACGACUGCUAAUACCGCAUAAGCCCACGGCCCGGCAUCGGGCUGAGGGAAAAGGAUUUAUUCGCUUCAGGAUGGACUCGCGUCCAAUUAGCUAGUUGGUG